UGCCAGACUCCUACGGGAGGCAGCAGUGGGGAAUAUUGCACAAUGGGGGAAACCCUGAUGCAGCGACGCCGCGUGAGUGAAGAAGUAUUUCGGUAUGUAAAGCUAUAUCAGCAGGGAAGAAAAUGACGGUACCUGAGUAAGAAGCCCCGGCUAACUACGUGCCAGCAGCCGCGGUAAUACGUAGGGGGCAAGCGUUAUCCGGAUUUACUGGGUGUAAAGGGAGCGUAGACGGCCAGACAAGUCUGAAGUGAAAAUCCAGCGCUUAACGUUGGAAGUGCUUUGGAAACUGCCGGGCUAGAGUGCAGGAGGGGCAGGCGGAAUUCCUAGUGUAGCGGUGAAAUGCGUAGAUAUUAGGAGGAACACCAGUGGCGAGGGCGGCCUGCGGGACUGCAACUGACGUUGAGGCUCGAAGGCGUGGGGAGCAAACAGGAUUAGAUACCCCGGUA
rnacentral:rRNA from 1 species